rnacentral:rRNA from 1 species
ACGAACGCUGGCGGCGUGGAUUAGGCAUGCAAGUCGAACGGGAUUUUAGCUUUUUCGAAGUCUAGUGGCGAAAGGGUGAGUAACACGUGGGUAACCUGCCCUAGGGAUCGGGAUAACCUGUCGAAAGAUGGGCUAAUACCGGAUACGUUUCAUUACUAAUUGUAAUGAAGGAAUGAUGGGGACUGUGGCGCAAGUCAUAGCCUGUCACCCUUGGAUGGGCCCGCGGCCUAUCAGCUAGUUGGUGAGGUAAUGGCUCACCAAGGCUAAGACGGGUAGCUGGUCUGAGAGGAUGGUCAGCCACACUGGGACUGAGACACUGCCCAGACUCCUACGGGAGGCUGCAGUCGGAANCUUUCGCAAUGGGGGAAACCCUGACGAAGCGACGCCGCGUGC